rnacentral:rRNA from 1 species
GACGAACCGUGCAAACGUUGUUCGGAAUCACUGGGCUUAAAGGGCGCGUAGGCGGGCCAGCCAGUCUGUGGUGAAAGCCUCCAGCUUAACUGGAGAAGUGCCGUGGAUACUGCUGGCCUCGAGGAGGAUAGGGGCAUCUGGAACGGUCGGUGGAGCGGUGAAAUGCGUUGAUAUCGACCGGAACUCCGGUGGCGAAGGCGGCAUCCUGGACCAACACUGACGCUGAUGAGCGAAAGCCAGGGGAGCAAACGGG